CUUGCGAUGUUCCUUUUUCUGCAAUAUAAGCCAUCACAUGAUUUCAGUUCCAUAAAUUAAUGAUGACAGAAAGAAAAAAGUUGCUUGAAAUUUGGAGGUAUGUGAGACGUCUAACUGCAAUAUAAGCCAUCACAUGAUUUCAGUUCCAUAAAUUAAUGUUCAUUUUUCUCUAUUUUUAACCAACCAUGGCCUAGUACUUUUUGUGUUAAUGAGGGAUGAAGGGGUUGUUCAUGGGAGUUGUUCCCCGUGUAGGUCGUGCCGGCCCUUCUGUUGGCAUGGUCAUCUCCUCAUAUGAAGUCGUCAAGUAUUUUCGUCCCUUCUCAUCUCCUCUGCUCCUCCCCCUCCCUGCAUCCCUCCUCCUCUUCCUUCCCAUUUUCCAGUUUUCUUCCUUCCUUUUUAAUUCCUGUUCUCUCAUGAGUUUAAUCUCAGUUUUUUUUUAGUCAAGUCUCAACUAUCUUGGGCUUCAUGGCCCUUAUCCGACUUUUUUCACCUGCUUUUACUACUUUCUAUCUUUUAAUUUUUCUUCUUCCCUCUUCCUUAGGCGUAAUAUUUCAUUCCCACACACCAUGUGCUCGGAUUGAUGGGAUUCGAUAAAAAAUUAAAUAUAAGAUCCACUUCCCUCCCUUACUUCCCCUCCCCCAACCGGCAUGCCGGAUCCCCAUUGAGACCAAGUGUUAUGUGGCCUUCACCACAGUAUGGGUAUUUUACAUACCCUCAUCCUCACUUUUUACCCAUAAGAUACUUUAUUUGUGUAUAUUUGUAGGGAUUAGUGAAGGGAUUUGGAUCUGGUGUCUACUUUCUCGGUUCAGAGUUUGACUUCCUUUGAGGAUGUGGCUGCGGUGGCGAUCUGAUUUAUGCUGCUUGAGAUUAGGGUUGUUUGUUGUUUGUUUUUUCAGCCUUAAAGCCUAAGCUUAUGUGGGUCUCACGUUGUAUCUUGGUUGCGGCUCUCAUUUUGCUUAGGCCUUUUACUUUAUGUUGUUGUUUACCUGGCUCUUUUUGGGCCCUUAUACUAGUUUUUAAUAUAAUGAAAGUUCGCUUCUUGAUUUUAAAAAAAAAACAAACAAACAAAGACUACCAGAAGGGGGAUUAAUUCCAGAAUACUAUGUUCUGACAUCUAAUAGGAGAGUUUCUCCAGUGCAAAUGCAAAUCCGCCAGUGUCAAUGGUGUUUAGGGUCCGAAAGAAGUACUUAUAACUCCCUAAUUUUCUUUAUUCCAUUUUCAAGACUAACUCUUUAGAAAGAUUCAUAACAGUAAGCAUAAAAGACUUGUAAAGUAAAUAUACAUACAGGAAGUUAGGAUGACUAGGGAAAAGUGGAUGGGGAAGAUAGAAAGAGGUUUACACAGAGAGACAAAUGGAGAAGAUGGACUGGUUAGGGUUUUGAUUUUUAAUAAUUAAGGGCAUGUUUGGUUAAUUAGUUGGGUUUUUAAUAAGGGUAGUUUAGGUACUAUCAGUCUGAUGUCCUUUUGUCCGAAACAUGGCCUGUUGAUUGGAGAGGGUUAUUAGAGCAUUUUCAAUAGAGAGGUCAAAAGAUAAAUGCCAAAUGUUAAUUUGAUGACUAACAUUACAAUGUCAAAAUUUCUCUUUUUCCAACCGAUAUAUUUUUUUAGUUAUAAAUUAUAUUUGUAGGAUACAUUUUAAAAAGAAAUCAAUUAAAAUAAAUUUUCAAGAUCUAUAAUUGGUGCAUUAAUGUCAUAGCCCGUCCCGAAAAAUAAUUCUUAUUGACGUGAAAAGACGGAAAUACCCUCGGACAUUGAAUGAUGCGUGUAUGAUAUGUUUUGGUGUAAGUAUUUGGGAUUGGUGACUCAAUUAGAACUAAGUUUUUUCUUAGUUUUGGUUGGUGGCUUUUGGACCACACACACACCCACCUACCCACUCUCUCUCUCUCUCUCUCCCCUUCCCGUGCUCUCUCUCUCUCAGACUUACUCUCUCUUUCUCUUCUCUCUUGUACGGACACAACCAGAAGCCCUUACAAACAUGGCAGAUAGAAGAAGAAAAUGGUACCAUGGUGUUCCUAUGGUCCUCACGAGUUCAAAGGUACCAAAUAUAGGUAAGAUUACCUUUGAUUUCACGUCGAAUCACAAAACCCGAUUUGAGGUACUAUUCAUGCUCACGUAAAAUGUUGAAUUUUAGGGAAUUUAAAGGACAUAGGGAGUUUAAGGAGGUCCUUACGAAGCUCGGAGUACUUCGUUUGAAGAUUUUGGACUUCGGAAUAGUGAGAACGGAGAGUUUCAAAUCUGGCCAGAAUUAUUGAGGCUUUUUCCGGCCAAUUUCCGACAAGUCGAAGGUCAAGCCAGGUACGGUUGUGUUCAUCUUUGUGAGAUCUUCAUUUUGGUAUAAAGUACGUAGAAAAUGGUGCAAAAAUGAAGAAGAAACCAUAGUUAGAAAAUUUUCCAGUUUUUCGGCGCCGAUGAUGGUCGCCGGAGUUUUGAAGAAGAAGACGAUGGAAUAUUCCGUCAAGUCUGACGGAAUAUUCCAACAGCGUUAACUGAUGUCGUCAAUGUGCCUGGCACAUGGCCGCGCAUGGGGGGCGCGUCUGGCUGUGCCAUUGUCGGCGCGUGGGGGCGCGUGAGGCUUCCAAAAAUUUAUCUAAAAAUUUGGGGAUGAUCCUGAGGUUGUAUAGGUCACUGUGGUAUAUUCAUAUACCCAAUUUGAGCAAUAUAUGAAAAGUUAUUAUCUAUUGUUGGUUAUGUGCGUUAAAUAACCUUUAUUCGAUUAUUACGCCUAUAGGUGAGGCCUAUUCUCGGGAGGAGCGUAAUCAAUUGAGGCUCGGGGGCUACGACCCAUUGACAUCUCAGUGAGUGGGCAGUUAUUUUCAGUAUAUAUAUAUAUAUAUAUAUAUAUAUAUAUAUAUACACUUGACGUUUUUCCCAGAAAACGUAUUUAAAGGAAAUGCAAUUUAAAUGCCAUGCAUAUACAAUUAUGUUUCGUACAUGAAUUGAUGUGUGAUACCUUAUAUAUAUAAAUGUGGUGUUGUGGAGGUCCAUGUAAGUUCAGGUAAGUUGUGUUUGGUUAUGUAAAUCAUCGAUGAUGCGAUAUUCGAUUGAGAAGCGUUAGCUCAUAAACUUGCACCAAUGGUGAUUGCGAUUUAGCCAGAGAGAGCUGGCACAUGCCCGUAUAUUAUGUCACCUCCCGCACCAUAUGCUCACAUUGGAUCCAAUUAGGUGUACAGUCUUGUCGUACAGACCACUAUAAGUGGUUCCGACUCGUAGGUGACUAAUGUAUUAUCACACAUCUAGCAUUGAGAGAGUAGAAUUGAGCAUAAUUAUAUUACACCCAACCUUGUUGUACAGACCCUUUUCAGUGGUUCCGACUUAUGUGCAAUAUAUUGUCGUAUAGGUCGUUAUAGUGACUCCGGCUAAAUUGACUAUUGAGUUAUAAACUCAGCCGUACAGACCACCCCAGGGGUUCCGGCUAACAUAUCAUAUUUCUAUGAAAUUAUUCUUACCUGAAUUGUGUACUUUGUUAUAUAUUGGCAUGGCAUGCAUAUGUUUAUGAAUGUGUAAAGCAUGAAUUGAAUUGAAAUGAUAUAUUUAUAUACUUAUUUAUGUAUUCUAAUUUCUGGGAAAAUAAUCAUAUACUUGUUUUACGGCAAGGGGUUAGUAUAUUCAAAUGAAAAUAAGGUUUUCGUGUAAAUGUGUUUUACUGACCCACUCAACUUUGUUUUUUUGCCCCUCCAGGUCUUAGAUAGCAGAGUUUGGUGGCCACGAGGAAUCCAACGGUGUUCUGACAGAAUCCGAAAAUGCAGGAUUCACCUUCGGGUGUUGUAUUUAGCAAUCGUCCCCUUGACUGCAACU
rnacentral:lncRNA from 1 species